rnacentral:lncRNA from 1 species
UGCGGUCUCUAUCGCAUGCAUGGUGAAUCCUUCUGUUAUUCCAUUCUUUAUUAUUCUGUUGGAAUAACCUGUCUAUGUGGAUUACCACAUGCAUGGUGAACGAUCCUUUGUAUUUCAUUCCUUGUUAAAUUGUGAAAAUGAUCUGUUUACGUGGAUUAUAAUGAAAGUCAUAAUAAAAGCAUUGGACUAAUGAAAAUCAUGGGUAUAUGUGGUAUUAGUAAGUGUUAUAAUGAGUUAUGUUGGUUAUUAUGUGAAAACAUGAAAGUUUCUUAGAAAUCACAAAGGGUUGAAAAAUCAGAUUUUGGUAAAAAUGAAACAUGAAAUUCAAUUGAUCAUAUCUCCUAUUAUAUUUUGAAUUUUUGAGUGUGGUCAAGUUCUAGAGUUAGAUCUAUGAGUUUCCUAAAUUAUCCAAGUGGAAUCACUGUAAAAGGUGUUGUAGAUUUUCGUGUGGACUGAUUUUAGUAAAGGAGUCAAAAGCUGCAAAAAUCGAAAAUAGCUACUGUCCAGAUUUUAAAAGGGUUGUUUCGGCCACUUAAUUUGUGAGAAAAAUUUCGGUCUUUUGGGACAUUAAAGUAUAUGGUAUAAAGUACCUCCUGUCCAAAAAUGAGCUCAUUCCGACUUAAAAUGAGCAAGUUACGACUAUUUCAAUAUUUAGAUUUUUCCGACGAAAAAAUGCUAUAACCAG